rnacentral:rRNA from 1 species
UACGUAGGGUGCAAGCGUUGUCCGGAAUUAUUGGGCGUAAAGAGCUCGUAGGUGGCCUGUCGCGUCGGCUGUGAAAACUCGGGGCUCAACUCCGAGCUUGCAGUCGAUACGGGCAGGCUAGAGUUCGGCAGGGGAGACUGGAAUUCCUGGUGUAGCGGUGAAAUGCGCAGAUAUCAGGAGGAACACCGGUGGCGAAGGCGGCUCUCUGGACCACAACUGACGCUGAGGCGCGAAAGCUAGGGGAGCAAACAGG